AGAGUUUGAUCAUGGCUACAGGACGAACGCUGGCGGCGCGCUUAAUACAUGCAAGUCGAACGAGAAGCCAGAGCUUGCUCUAGGUGGAAAGUGGCGAACGGGUGAGUAACACGUGAGAAACCUGCCCCAAAGAUUGGGAUAAGCCUUGGAAACGAGGUCUAAUACCAAAUACCUUCUUUUUAACACAUGUUAAAAGAGAAAUGCUCGGCGCUUUGGGAUGGUCUCGCGAUCUAUCAGCUUGUUGGUGAGGUAACGGCUCACCAAGGCAUCGACGGAUAGCUGGUCUGAGAGGAUGUCCAGCCACAUUGGAACUGAGACACGGUCCAAACUCCUACGGGAGGCAGCAGUAGGGAAUCUUGCACAAUGAGGAAACCUUGAUGCAGCGACGCCGCGUGCGGGACGAAGGCCCUAGGGUUGUAAACCGCUUUCAGUAGGGACGAAAGUGACGGUACCUACAGAAGAAGCCCCGGCCAACUAUGUG
rnacentral:rRNA from 1 species